rfam:Anopheles maculatus strain maculatus3 cont1.27252, whole genome shotgun sequence.
UUUAAGGUCUCUUUCGAGGCCACACACACAACCUAUACACUAUUCU